GGGCGGAUAGCUCAGUUGGUAGAGCGCCAGCUUUAAGAUCUGGAGGUCGCGGGUUCGAGCCCCGCUCUGUCCA
rnacentral:tRNA from 1 species